rnacentral:rRNA from 1 species
GCCGGUGAAUAUAGACAAGGGGAAACACCUGUUCCCAUCCCGAACACAGCAGUUAAGCCCUUGUCGCCGAUGAUACUGCUCCGCGGGAAAGUAGGUCACCGCCGGCU